CCUACGGGGGGUAGCAGUGAGGAAUAUUGGUCAAUGGGCGGGAGCCUGAACCAGCCAAGCCGCGUGAGGGAAGAAGGUACAGCGUAUCGUAAACCUCUUUUGUCAGGGAACAAAGGCGGGGACUAGUCCCCGGAUGAGGGUACCUGAAGAAAAAGCAUCGGCUAACUCCGUGCCAGCAGCCGCGGUAAUACGGGGGAUGCGAGCGUUAUCCGGAUUUAUUGGGUUUAAAGGGUGCGCAGGGGGCCUGUUAAGUCAGCGGGAAAAGCCCGGGGCGCAACCCCGGCGAGCCGUUGAAACUGGCGGGCUGGAGUUGGAGAGAGGUAAGCGGAAUGCACGGUGUAGCGGUGAAAUGCUUAGAUAUCGCGCAGAACCCCGAUUGCGAAGGCAGCGUACCGGCUCCAAACUGACGCUGAGGCACGAAAGCGUGGGUAUCGAACAGGAUUAGAUACCCCUGUAGUC
rnacentral:rRNA from 1 species